UGGGUGACUAAAGAAGAACCAUUUGGAGAUCUUGGAGAGGGCAUUCUUUUCUUUGGAAAUCUUAGAGGAAAGAGGGAGGAUGUUUUUGCCAAACUUCAGAGUCAGUUAUCAGAAAUUAUGGGUGAUAAGUACAACCUGUUCAUGGUGGAAGAACCUAAUUCAGAGGGGCCAGACCCACGUGGCGGGCCCAGAGUUAGCUUUGGUAUGCUGCGGAAAGAAGUUUCUGAACCAGGUCCAACAACUCUCUGGCAAUAUGUAAUUGCUUCUUGGGAAUCUUAGAGGAAAGAGGGAGGAUGUUUUUGCCAAACUUCAGAGUCAGUUAUCAGAAAUUAUGGGUGAUAAGUACAACCUGUUCAUGGUGGAGGAGCCUAAUUCAGAGGGGCCAGACCCGCGUGGUGGGCCCAGAGUCAGCUUUGGUAUGCUGCGGAAAGAAGUUUCUGAACCAGGUCCAACAACUCUCUGGCAAUAUGUAAUUGCUUUUCUGUUGU
rnacentral:lncRNA from 1 species